UCUCAUAAACCGUGGCUCAGUUCAGAUCGUAGGCUGCAACUCGCCUACGUGAAGGAGGAAUCGCUAGUAAUCGCAGGUCAGCAUACUGCGGUGAAUACGUUCCCGGGCCUUGUACACACCGCCCGUCACACCAUGGAAGUUGGCCACGCCCGAAGUCGUUACUCCAACCCUCUGGGAGGAGGACGCCGAAGGUGGGGCUGAUGACUGGGGUGAAGUCGUAACAAGGUAGCCGUACCGGAAGGUGCGGCUGGAUCACCUCCUAA
rnacentral:rRNA from 1 species